UUUGCAUGUGCCAGGCCAGUUACUGUAGAGAUGUACGCUUCAUUAAAACACCGUCAUCUUCACCAGGCUGCAGAGAUACCAGGGUUACAGCACAGCUGAGAUGAGGAGCUGACUGAUCCUGUUGGGAGGACCUGGAGAUGAUUCAUGGUGCAGCUCACGCCUACUCUCUCCCACUGCACAUCCAUUUGCCAGCCCUGCUGACUUCAGGCCCACUUCUGGACACAGGGGCAGCAGGUUGCAGCUUUCAUAACAAUGUGUAUCCUAAUCUCUUUAAUAAAUUCCUUGUUUUGCUCAAGGUGGUUUUGCUUCUCUGAUCAAACUUUAAUGAUACAGAUUUUGGAAACAUCAUAGGUGCUGCUGCAGUUAAAAACCUAAAAUGUGUGGCACUGGCUUUGGGGCCAGGCAGCGAAUAGAAGGUAGAGGGGCCUUGAGAAGUCUGUCAGUGAGGCCUUCAAUAAAUAUGAUGAAAAUAUUGUUGAAACCUGGAAGAAGGAAGACAGGUUUGUGUAGCGGUGG
rnacentral:lncRNA from 10 species